UACGGAGGGCGCAAGCGUUGUUCGGAAUCACUGGGCGUAAAGCGCGUGUAGGCGGCCGGGCAAGUCGGGUGUGAAAUCCCGAGGCUCAACCUCGGAACUGCACUCGAAACUGCUCGGCUCGAGUCCCGGAGAGGGUGGCUGAAUUCCCGGUGUAGGGGUGAAAUCCGUAGAUAUCGGGAGGAACACCAGUGGCGAAGGCGGCCACCUGGACGGUGACUGACGCUGAGACGCGAAAGCGUGGGGAGCAAACAGG
rnacentral:rRNA from 1 species